rnacentral:rRNA from 1 species
GUUUCAACAAAGCCCGUAGGAUCCGAUAAUGACAUAUUGGAUGAUGACGAGGAAGAAAGCAUGUCUAGCGCUAAUCCUAGCGAGAUUGAUCCAUUUGACAGUGUCUACUCAAACAUCCCAGACAGCACUCACAUCCUGAAACUCGCUAAAAAUUGCAAACACUGCAAGGCCAGGAAGUUUGAGUCUGAGACUGGCGGGUUCUGCUGUCACAAUGGCCAGAUUUAGCUUAAGCAACCGGAACCAAUCCCAGAGCUUAUGAGGCUAUGGUCCAGCAUGGAUGCAGAUUCUAGACAUUUUCGAGAGAACAUAUGGUUCUUCAAUGGGCAUUUCACCUUCACAACCCUUGGCGUCAGCCUUGAUGAAAACUACACAAACAUGAAGUCUGGGGUGUACACAUUCCGAGCACACGACACCAUCUACCACAACGUGCAUUCGUUCGGGCCAAGCUCCCGUCCAGAACAUCUGUAG